CUUCCGAUAGUUUAUUCAAAACGUUAGCUUUGCACGCUGGAUAUGGGUUAAAGCCCCUCGGGUGA
rnacentral:tRNA from 1 species